rnacentral:ncRNA from 1 species
CUCGGUCCUCGGUAGUGGCUUUCGGGUCGAGAACCCCGCGGGCCUCGAUCGAAGACCGGG